rnacentral:rRNA from 1 species
AACGCGAAGAACCUUACCUGGGCUUGAACUGCACCGGACAAGGGUGGAAACACCCUCUCCCGAAAGGGCUGGUGUAGAGGUGCUGCAUGGCUGUCGUCAGCUCGUGCCGUGAGGUGUUGGGUUAAGUCCCGCAACGAGCGCAACCCUUACCCUUAGUUGCUACCCGCAAGGGAGAACUCUAAGGGGACUGCUCCGGAUAACGGAGAGGAAGGCGGGGAUGAGGUCAAGUCAGCAUGGCCUUUAUGUCCAGGGCUACACACGUGUUACAAUGCAUGGUACAGACUGUCGCGAUCCCGCGAGGGGGAGCUAACCGGAAAAAACCAUGCUCAGUUCGGAUUGCAGUCUGCAACUCGACUGCAUGAAGCCGGAAUCGCUAGUAAUGGCGUAUCAGAACGACGCCGUGAAUACGUUCCCGGGCCUUGUACACACCGAGACGAC